rnacentral:rRNA from 1 species
ACGGGAGGCAGCAGUGGGGGAUAUUGCACAAUGGGCGAAAGCCUGAUGCAGCGACGCCGCGUGAGGGAAGAAGUUAUUCGUAAUGUAAAGCUCUAUCAGCAGGGAAGAAAAUGACGGUACCUGACUAAGAAGCCCCGGCUAACUACGUGCCAGCAGCCGCGGUAAUACGUAGGGGGCAAGCGUUAUCCGGAUUUACUGGGUGUAAAGGGAGCGUAGACGGUCUUGCAAGUCUGAUGUGAAAGGCAGGGGCUCAGCUCCUGGACUGCAUUGGAAACUGUAAGUCUUGAGUGCCGGAGAGGUAAGCGGAAUUCCUAGUGUAGCGGUGAAAUGCGUAGAUAUUAGGAGGAACACCAGUGGCGAAGGCGGCUUACUGGACGGUAACUGACGUUGAGGCUCGAAAGCGUGGGGAGCAAACAGGAUUAGAUACCCUGGUA